CCCACCGGCUACAAAGGGGAGCAAGGAGAGGUCGGCAAGGACGGUGAGAAGGGUGAUCCUGGCCCCCCUGGGCCUGCUGGCAUCCCAGGCACUGUGGGGCUGCAGGGGCCUCGGG